UCAGGGGCGUGGCCACCUCCCACCCUUGUCUCUAUACACCUGUUGCUUUGGCGGGCCCACCGGGGCCACCUGGUCGCCGGGGGACAUCUGUCCCCGGGCCCGCGCCCGCCGAAGCGCUCUGUGAACCCUGAUGAAGAUGGGCUGUCUGAGUACUAUGAAAAUUGUCAAAACUUUCAACAAUGGAUCUCUUGGUUCCGGCAUCGAUGAAGAACGCAGCGAAAUGCGAUAAGUAAUGUGAAUUGCAGAAUUCCGUGAAUCAUCGAAUCUUUGAACGCACAUUGCGCCCCCUGGCAUUCCGGGGGGCAUGCCUGUCCGAGCGUCAUUUCUGCCCUCAAGCACGGCUUGUGUGUUGGGUGCGGUCCCCCCGGGGACCUGCCCGAAAGGCAGCGGCGACGUCCGUCUGGUCCUCGAGCGUAUGGGGCUUUGUCACUCGCUCGGGAAGGACUGGCGGGGGUUGGUCACCACCAAAAUUUUACCACGGUUGACCUCGGAUCAGGUAGGAGUUACCCGCUGAACUUAAGCAUAUCAAUAAGCGGGAGGAAGGUAAUGAUCUUCCGUAGGGUGAACCUGCGGAAGGAUCAUUACCGAG
rnacentral:rRNA from 1 species